ACUAGAAAUGGAACUGUCGGUUUCCAUAUGGAAUCAAAAGGGAAUCCGCCACCGGUCCGCCGGUGAACCGGAACUGCCCCCGCAACUGUAGGCGACGAGCGUGCAGCGAUCAUGCCACUGUGGCCACCGCGCCAUGGGAAGGCCGCUGCCGUGAAGACUCGCCAGUCAGGAGACCUGCCGACAUAAACGCAACGCG
rnacentral:ncRNA from 2 species